UGGGGAAUCUUGCGCAAUGGGCGAAAGCCUGACGCAGCGACGCCGCGUGCGGGAAGAAGGCCUUCGGGUUGUAAACCGCUUUCAGGAGGGACGAAGCCACUCGGGUUAAUAGCCCAGAGGGUGACGGUACCUCCAGAAGAAGCCCCGGCUAACUACGUGCCAGCAGCCGCGGUAAUACGUAGGGGGCAAGCGUUGUCCGGAUUUAUUGGGCGUAAAGAGCGUGUAGGCGGCCCGGCAGGUCCGUUGUGAAAACUCGAGGCUCAACCUCGAGAUGUCGAUGGAAACCGUCGGGCUAGAGUCCGGAAGAGGAGAGUGGAAUUCCCGGUGUAGCGGUGAAAUGCGCAGAUAUCGGGAAGAACACCCGUGGCGAAGGCGGCUCUCUGGGACGGUACUGACGCUGAGACGCGAAAGCGUGGGGAGCGAACAGG
rnacentral:rRNA from 1 species